rnacentral:rRNA from 1 species
AUUGAACGCUGGCGGCAGGCCUAAUACAUGCAAGUCGAACGAGUGGCGGACGGGUGAGUAAUGUCUGGGACCCUGCUCGACGGAGGGGGAUAAUUACUGGAAACGGUAGCUAAUACUGCAUACCAUCUGACGUGUCCAGAUGGGCUUAGUUAGUGGGUGGGGUAACGGCUCACCAAGGCGACGAUCCCUAGCUGGUCUGAGAGGGUGACCAGCCACACUGGAACUGAGACACGGCCCAGACUCCUACGGGAGGCAGCAGUGGGGAAUAUUGCGCAAUGGACGAAAGCCUGAUGCAGCCAUGCCGCGUGAGUGAAGAAGGCCUUCGGGUUGUAAAGUACUUUCAGCGGGGAAGCGUUACUCACAGAGAAAGCAACGGCUAACUCCGUGCCAGCAGCCGCGGUAAUUC